rnacentral:rRNA from 1 species
CGGAUGAAGGGAGCUUGCUCCUGGAUUCAGCGGCGGACGGGUGAGUAAUGCCUAGGAAUCUGCCUGGUAGUGGGGGAUAACGUCCGGAAACGGGCGCUAAUACCGCAUACGUCCUGAGGGAGAAAGUGGGGGAUCUUCGGACCUCACGCUAUCAGAUGAGCCUAGGUCGGAUUAGCUAGUUGGUGGGGUAAAGGCCUACCAAGGCGACGAUCCGUAACUGGUCUGAGAGGAUGAUCAGUCACACUGGAACUGAGACACGGUCCAGACUCCUACGGGAGGCAGCAGUGGGGAAUAUUGGACAAUGGGCGAAAGCCUGAUCCAGCCAUGCCGCGUGUGUGAAGAAGGUCUUCGGAUUGUAAAGCACUUUAAGUUGGGAGGAAGGGCAGUAAGUUAAUACCUUGCUGUUUUGACGUUACCAACAGAAUAAGCACCGGCUAACU